ACUCAAAGGAAUUGACGGGGGCUCACACAAGCGGUGGAGCAUGUGGCUUAAUUCGAGGCUACGCGAAGAACCUUAUCCUGGGCUUGACAUGUGCGAAAGCGCCCGCAGGUAGGACCCGGAAACGGGGACGAACGGUAUCCAAUCCGGAAGCGGGCACAGGUGCUGCAUGGCUGUCGUCAGCUCGUGUCGUGAGAUGUCGGGUUAAGUCCCAUAACGAGCGAAACCCUUACCCUCAGUUGCUACCCGCAAGGGGCACUCUGGGGGGACUGCCGGUGUCAAACCGGAGGAAGGCGGGGAUGACGUCAAGUCCUCAUGGCCUUUAUGCCCAGGGCUGCACACGUGCUACAAUGGCGUGAACAGAGUGACGCGAGCCCGCGAGGGGGAGCCAAUCACAGAAAACACGCCCCAGUUCAGAUCGGAGGCUGCAACUCGCCUCCGUGAAGCCGGAAUCGCUAGUAAUCGCGGGUCAGCAACACCGCGGUGAAUGUGUUCCUGAGCCUUGCACACACCGCCCGU
rnacentral:rRNA from 1 species